rnacentral:rRNA from 1 species
UCUUGGCCAGCCUUCUGAAAGGAAGAUUAAUACAAGAUGGCAUCAUGAGUCCGCAUGUUCACAUGAUUAAAGGUAUUCCGGUAGACGAUGGGGAUGCGUUCCAUUAGAUAGUAGGCGGGGUAACGGCCCACCUAGUCUUCGAUGGAUAGGGGUUCUGAGAGGAAGGUCCCCCACAUUGGAACUGAGACACGGUCCAAACUCCUACGGGAGGCAGCAGUGAGGAAUAUUGGUCAAUGGGCGAGAGCCUGAACCAGCCAAGUAGCGUGAAGGAUGACUGCCCUAUGGGUUGUAAACUUCUUUUAUAAAGGAAUAAAGUCGGGUAUGGAUACCCGUUUGCAUGUACUUUAUGAAUAAGGAUCGGCUAACUCCGUGCCAGCAGCCGCGGUAAUACGGAGGAUCCGAGCGUUAUCCGGAUUUAUUGGGUUUAAAGGGAGCGUAGAUGGAUGUUUAAGUCAGUUGUGAAAGUUUGCGGCUCAACCGUAAAAUUGCAGUUGAUACUGGAUAUCUUGAGUGCAGUUGAGGCAGGCGGAAUUCGUGGUGUAGCGGUGAAAUGCUUAGAUAUCACGAAGAACUCCAAUUGCGAAGGCAGCCUGCUAAGCUGCAACUGACAUUGAGGCUCGAAAGUGUGGGUAUCAAACAGGAUUAGAUACCCUGGUAGUCCACACGGUAAACGAUGAAUACUCGCUGUUUGCGAUAUACUGCAAGCGGCCAAGCGAAAGCGUUAAGUAUUCCACCUGGGGAGUACGCCGGCAACGGUGAAACUCAAAGGAAUUGACGGGGGCCCGCACAAGCGGAGGAACAUGUGGUUUAAUUCGAUGAUACGCGAGGAGCCUUACCCGGGCUUAAAUUGCAGAUGAAUUACGGUGAAAGCCGUAAGCCGCAAGGCAUCUGUGAAGGUGCUGCAUGGUUGUCGUCAGCUCGUGCCGUGAGGUGUCGGCUUAAGUGCCAUAACGAGCGCAACCCUUGUUGUCAGUUACUAACAGGUUCUGCUGAGGACUCUGACAAGACUGCCAUCGUAAGAUGUGAGGAAGGUGGGGAUGACGUCAAAUCAGCACGGCCCUUACGUCCGGGGCUACACACGUGUUACAAUGGGGGGGUACAGAGGG